UGAGGAAUAUUGGACAAUGGGCGCAAGCCUGAUCCAGCCAUGCCGCGUGUGUGAAGAAGGUCUUCGGAUUGUAAAGCACUUUAAGUUGGGAGGAAGGGCCAUUACCUAAUACGUGAUGGUUUUGACGUUACCGACAGAAUAAGCACCGGCUAACUCUGUGCCAGCAGCCGCGGUAAUACAGAGGGUGCAAGCGUUAAUCGGAAUUACUGGGCGUAAAGCGCGCGUAGGUGGUUAGUUAAGUUGGAUGUGAAAUCCCCGGGCUCAACCUGGGAACUGCAUUCAAAACUGACUGACUAGAGUAUGGUAGAGGGUGGUGGAAUUUCCUGUGUAGCGGUGAAAUGCGUAGAUAUAGGAAGGAACACCAGUGGCGAAGGCGACCACCUGGACUGAUACUGACACUGAGGUGCGAAAGCGUGGGGAGCAAACAGGAUUAGAUACCCAAGUAGUCCCUGAGCGGGCUGGCAAGGCGCAU
rnacentral:rRNA from 1 species